GGGAAGGGAAGGGAAGGGGCCGCGCCUUUGUUCCGCAGCGCCGGGCCCGGGUGCGGGCGUUGGGUGCGGACGCGGGGACAGAGGUGUCCUUGAGGGGACGGCCCGGGGGCCGGGACCCCCUCGCCCUGCCCCGCAGCACGCGGAGAGCCGGAGCUGAGGGCAGCACCGCGCCGCCGGCGGGAAGGUGACGCCAGGCCGCGGCCGCCCCGCUCUGCCCUCCCUGUAAAAGCAAUAGAGAGGUGCUGGUGCCGGUGUCCCCGCAACACACACGCACACACUUUACCCGUAUUUGUGCUUUCUUAAGUGGCGGCGUGUGCAAGGGAGGAUCCUGCCUCCGCCUGACCAGGAAGUCCGUUUACAAAGAGAUGAAACACCUUCCAAAAAAAAAAAAAAAGCUUUAAAAUCCAUAGAAAGAAGUGGUUUUAAAAAUCCUAACGAUGAGCAACGCAGCCCGGCUGAGCUAGAAAGGAAAACCAAGCCAGAACCGACAGCAAUGAGGAAAAAUACUGAAACUAUUCAAUAAGAGAGGCUUCUUUUGUGAUGUUGUUUGAACGGUCCUACAUCCUGUGUUUAAAGUUCAGCGCUCAGCCCUUGCAUUGGCAAACAACCUCCCCUCCCCCAGGCAGCUUCCUCAAGUGGCUCGAGCACUGAGCACCAGGACCUGUGCGUUGCCAUCCCUGCGCUUGCCAUCUGUUCUGUGUCGUCUCACGCAAGGAUAUCAAAUUCACCCAAGGAAACUUGUCUACAAACAAAACACUUGUGUAUGUGCUAAGCUUUAUGGGCAGGACUCAUCCUAUUGAAGGCAGUACAACUAUUUGUGUCUCAACCUGGGCACGUGUAAAUGUUCAUAAGACUGGGGCCUUUGGCUCGUGUAUGUCUUGUUUCUCUCUAUGCUAGAGAUGAGAGUUUGCCUUUAGAAGCGACGUGUCCAUUUUACUGGAUGUUGUUAAAGUAUUGUGGAGACAAAAGAGUGUAAUUAUAAACAUAGCUAUUACAAUGUUCCAGUCGAAACAGCCUCUUAUUCUGAGCGGUGGGAUUUCAGAUAGGUAGGCUUCGAAAUACUUUUGAAUGUGGUUGUAGCGUGUGUUAUAUACUACUUGAGACUAAGUUGUAAUUUUUAGGUUAAUAGGUUAAUAAAGCCUGUCUGCUAGAAGUGUAAAACCCCUGGUGUGGAGACGGCUGUGACGACAAAAUUGGGUAGGGGGGUGCUUUGUCAUCUUAGCCUGUGUCAUUUGGGGUAGUGACCCAGUACCAUGUUGCAGACACUACAGGUUGGACACUACAACCUGUAGUGACCCAGCUUCAUCUUUGGUUGGGGCUCUGUAGUAUAGAUAGGUAUUAAGAUUUGUGUUGAAAAAAAAGAAACUACCCAGGAUUCAAAAUACAUUAAAAUAUGUGACCUAGUGAAAAAAAACUAGUACCAUUAAGCAAAGUCCAUUAGGCCUGAAAAGUUCUUAGAGAAUGUCAUCAGCUUGAUUGUUAAAACAGGUUUUACCAUUUUCAUUCUGACUGACAGAAGUACCUUGGCAGAUUUAAAAUGCAAAAAAAGAUAUCUGCAUUGGCCUUAAAUAAGGUUCCAAGCUUUUGAAAGAUGCUUUUAUUUCCCUAAGUCUUCUGAGAGUGUUUUUCCCUGGGGGCUGGGUUUCAUCUCCUUCCAUACAUGAAUGGACAUAAAGCUAUAUCUCAUCAAAUGUUUUUUGCAACCAGACGUUAAUAAACCAGCGCCCACUUCUUUCUCAUCAUUUCAACUACAUGUGAGACCAGAUCCCACUUGUACCCAUGACCUUCCCUUGGUGUUUAUGUCUAAUUUGUUCUUACAUACUGUUGGUAAAGGAAAAUGGACAGGAAUUCUGCUCUUGUACCUUUUACAAGAAAUGACUUUUGGAGUUCAUCUUGUUUUCAGCCAGGAGUUUCUAUAACGUGUAUCCUUCCCUGUAUUAUAUGAAGACUGAAGACUUGUGCCUGUGCUCUGUAACCUCUUUCAAUUUAUGGAGAUUGGCUAAGAGGAUUGAAGAGGAACUCUAUGCUUGUACAUGCCCAGUCACAGUUAUUUUUUGCUUCCAAAGCAGAUAUUUAAAAUACAACUUUUAGAGUAGUUCCUGGUUUACUUAUGACCCAUCCUCCAAUAAAAAACAAGUGCUAA